rnacentral:pre_miRNA from 1 species
CAAAUACUCCGUCCGUCCGGAAAUACUUGUCAUCAAAAUGGAUAAAAGGAAAUGUAUCUAGACGUAUUUUAGUUUUAGAUACAUCUCUUUUUAUCCAUUUUGCUGACAAGUAUUUUCGGACGAAGGGAGUAGAAA